AGUGAACGCUGGCGGUAGGCCUAACACAUGCAAGUCGAACGGCAGCACAGUAAGAGCUUGCUCUUACGGGUGGCGGGUGGCGGACGGGUGAGGAAAACAUCGGAACCUACUUUUUCGUGGGGGAUAACGUAGGGAAACUUACGCUAAUACCGCAUACGACCUACGGGUGAAAGCAGGGGAUCUUCGGACCUUGCGCGAUUGAAUGAGCCGAUGUCGGAUUAGCUAGUUGGCGGGGUAAAGGCCCACCAAGGCGACGAUCCGUAGCUGGUCUGAGAGGAUGAUCAGCCACACUGGAACUGAGACACGGUCCAGACUCCUACGGGAGGCAGCAGUGGGGAAUAUUGGACAAAGGGCGCAAGCCUGAUCCAGCCAUACCGCGUGGGUGAAGAAGGCCUUCGGGUUGUAAAGCCCUUUUGUUGGGAAAGAAAAGCAGCAGGUUAAUACCCCGCUGUUCUGACGGUACCCAAAGAAUAAGCACCGGCUAACUUCGUG
rnacentral:rRNA from 1 species